rnacentral:rRNA from 1 species
AUGCGGACAUGGAGAAUGCGGAGCCGAAAGAGAAAGAGGAAGAAGUCUAGCCGCCUCCCGGAUGCCGUCCUCGGCAGCAUCGUCUCUCUUCUCGCCACCAAGGAAGGCGCCCGCACGCAGGCCAUCUCCCGCCGGUGGCGUCCGCUCUGGCGCUCCGCUCCUCUGAACCUCGUGGUGAACCGUGAGCUCAUCAACAAGACCCACAAGCUCAUCGACCUGAUCCCAAAGGUCCUCUCCGAGCAUCGCGGCCCCACGCGCCGCUUCCUGCUCUGCUUCUGCAUCGACGACUGUUACGACAAGAUCGAAGGCUGGCUUAGCUCCCAGGCCCUGGACAGUCUACAGGAGCUCCAGCUCAACCCCAAGCUCUGGUUCGCGGACAGGAAGAAGCUGUAUCCGCUGCCACCGGCGGCGUGCCGCUUCUCGCCGACGCUCCGCGUGGCCAAAUUCCACGGCUUUCACCUCCCGGACUUGAUUGGGCAUCUGUCGCUGAAGUUCCCGUGCCUGGAGCAGCUGACCCUGGAGAGGGUCACCAUCUCGGAGGACGCUCUCCAGAGCAUGCUCUCGGGCUGCCCUGCCUUGGAAAGCCUCGAGCUCAAGGAAAAUUUGGGCAUUGCUCGCCUCUGCAUCAGCUCCCAAACUCUGAAGAGUCUGGGCUUUUGCGUCGACUCGAGGUAUGGAGGUGUGUUUCUGCAAGAGUUGGUCAUCGAGGAUGCCCCGUGCCUUGAGAGGUUGCUAGCCCUUGAUCCAAAGGGCGGCCCAGCGACCAUACGGAUAAUUUGCGCACCUAAACUGGAGAUAUUGGGUAUGCUGUCCGAGGACAUAUCUGAGCUCCACCUUGGAAGAACAAUUUUUCAGAAAGGGGUUGCUGUUAGUUUGACAACCAAAAUGCACACCAUGAGGGUUUUGGUUUUCAGCCCUGUUGGCCCUGAUCUGGAUGCAGUGGUCAACUUCCUCAAGUGCUUCCCCUGCUUGGAGAGGCUGUAUGUCAUUUUUCAGCCACUGUCACGCGCAAUUUAUUAUAUUGGUAAUGCCCGGAAGUAUGACCCACUGCACCCAAUCGAGUGCUUUCAGCUGCAUCUAAAGAAAGUGGUGUUGAAGAAUUAUGACGGCGAAAAUAGUGCAUUUAUCAACUUUGCCAAGUUCUUUCUUCUGAAUGCGAAAGCGCUAAAGGAAAUGAAAAUCACAUCGCCUUACCACCGCCAGCACAAUUUCUUUGCUAAUAUACAGAGCAAGCUACGAGAUCAACUUAGAGCUUCUCCGGAUGCUCAAAUUGAACUGAGAUGUGGCACUAGGGAUUAUUUCACACGCAACAAGCAUACCCAUGAUUUGUCGAUGAACGAUCCCUUUGACAUGCCGUCCAUCGGAUGCUGGAGGUGUAAAGAGUUGGGUCUAGGAGAUACUACAUACCAGGUUUAA